rnacentral:rRNA from 1 species
AGCGAACGCUGGCGGCAGGCCUAACGCAUGCAAGUCGAACGAACCCUUCGGGGUUAGUGGCGGACGGGUGAGUAACACGUGGGAACGUGCCUUUAGGUUCGGAAUAACUCAGGGAAACUUGUGCUAAUACCGAAUGUGCCCUUCGGGGGAAAGAUUUAUCGCCUUUAGAGCGGCCCGCGUCUGAUUAGCUAGUUGGUGAGGUAAUGGCUCACCAAGGCUACGAUCAGUAGCGGGUCUGAGAGGAUGACCAGCCACAUUGGGACUGAGACACGGCCCAAACUCCUACGGGAGGCAGCAGUGGGGAAUCUUGCGCAAUGGGCGAAAGCCUGACGCAGCCAUGCCGCGUGGAUGAUGAAGGUCUUAGGAUUGUAAAAUCCUUUCACCGGUGAAGAUAAUGACUGUAGCCGGAGAAGAAGCCCCGGCUAACUUCGUGCCAGCCGCCGCAGUAACAC